rnacentral:lncRNA from 1 species
AAUUAUUCAUUUCUGUUACUAAUUUCUUGUUUCAUCACACUGUUAUGGGAAGAGAAGGGCAAAUAAAAGUGCCACAAAGCCUUUUUACCAUCUUCAAAUUGCGUUUUUCUUUAUUCCAUCUUUGCUUGGUUACUACAAAUCUUUGGCUGUUUUCCAGAGUUCUGGCAAAGAUGAUUCUGAUAGUUUCUUUUUGUUUUUAUAUUUCCGUGAGAGGAUGAGAGCUUGAAGCUGCUUAGCCUCCCUGUGCUCUCAUUGUGGAGUGAAUUUUUUGUCACCUGGAUUUUUUGGUUUUGUUGCACUGGGGACAGAACUCUGGGCCUCACACAUGCUAGUCUAGUGCUCUGUUACUAAGCUGCACCCCAGUCCCAGUCACCUGAAAUGUUUUCUCAUUUUCCUUUGUUCUUAAAGAAGCUUUGAAUUGAUGCAGACUGUUUCGUCUAUUUGUUCUGAGGACAGGUUUAGGGGUUGAGGUUGCUUGAGAUUUUUAGUUCAAGAGCACUUACGUUUUCACAGUGAGAUGGAGUGCAGCACCCCCAAUGGAUGACUUUUUCUUUUGGCAUGUGGAGAGGGAUUGUGUGUGGUUUGAUUUUGUUUUAGCCAUUUUUUGUCUUACAUGAUCCUAAAUUUCCCUCUCUCUCUUUUUUUUUUUAGAUCACCACCCAAUCUCGGAAUAAUAUUUCCUUAUUCCUUUUUAUCCUUUUCUCCCUUAGAUGCAUGCUCUGUGACUGCCUCCUUGGGUCCCAUCUACCUUUCCUGUAGCUGGUACUCUCAUAUCUCUGGCCAGCUUUUCUGCAUUUUCCUACUUACAGUGGAUUUUCUCUAAGCACUAUUUCAGCU